GCACAACGCGAAGAACCUUACCCACCUUUGACAUGUACGGAAUCCUUUAGAGAUAGAGGAGUGCUCGAAAGAGAGCCGUAACACAGGCGCUGCAUGGCUGUCGUCAGCUCGUGUCGUGAGAUGUUGGGUUAAGUCCCGCAACGAGCGCAACCCUUGCCAUUAGUUGCUACAUUUAGUUGAGCACUCUAAUGGGACUGCCGGUGACAAACCGGAGGAAGGUGGGGAUGACGUCAAGUCCUCAUGGCCCUUAUAGGUGGGGCUACACACGUCAUACAAUGGCUGGUACAGAGGGUUGCCAACCCGCGAGGGGGAGCUAAUCCCAUAAAACCAGUCGUAGUCCGGAUCGCAGUCUGCAACUCGACUGCGUGAAGUCGGAAUCGCUAGUAAUCGCGGAUCAGCAUGUCGCGGUGAAUACGUUCCC
rnacentral:rRNA from 1 species